UAGUGAAAAACAAAAAAACAAGUCUCGAAGUUCAUCAACAUGAUGUUUAAUCUAUAUCUAUAAUACUAUAUAAAGCAUUUCCCAUGUCUAGAUUCAAUGAGGUUCCAAUGAUUCUUACAAUUCAACCAUUCUCUAUUAAAUGCGAUCAUCAGUUUAUGCAAUCCAAUCGUUUUUGCUUUAAUGGCCCGUCCGUUUCUAGCAAUCCACUAUAUUAACAAGCCAUCACUGAAAUUAGGCACAAAUCAUUGAUUCAAAUCAACAACCGGCGAGGAGAGGAAGGGAGUUUGACGGUGGUGGUUGGGCUUAACUAAAAAGAGGAAUAAGAUGAGAGUAGGAUGUUCGAUGCGCUGGACAGGUAAUUCAUUUUCUUCGUUCUCAGUCAGAUUGGGUCUGCAUUUGUCAAUUAGGAUUUAUGAGAAGGUAUCUGAUUAGAGCUUUUAAGUUCAUUCUUCUUGUUCGAUUCUCAUUAGUAGUGUGAUGAUAUGAUAAUUUCAUUUUGAAUCAUGUUUAUUGGUUGUGAAUUUGGGGAUUAUCGACAUGAAUUAGUUUAUAUUUUUUGUCUAAUUCAGUCAUGCACGCCACAUGUUUGAUAAUAUGCCUAUGCGAGAUGUUUGUUUUCUUGAAUCAAUAGUUGAACUCCAGAUCUGAAGUUUAUUGCCAUUAGAUCAUGUGUUUAAAUUUUGUUUAAGUAGUUUGAUCAUUUGGGUUGAUGUAUGAAGCAUGUUGGUUGAUCAUUGCUGUAAACUUUUGAGGUAUGCAUUUUAAAGAAAAAAAUCAUGUUUGCUUAGUGUAGGCACAAUCAUGUUUCAUUUUCAACUGGAAUUCAUCAACAAGUAGAAUCAAGAUCAUGAUGGUUGGUAUUUCUAAUAUAGUAUGCUAGAUAUAUACGUUUCCAGAAACUAGAAUACUGAUCUAUGCAUAUAAUAUAUUGGUAUAUCAACUGCCUAAAUUUAUAUUUACAUUUUCUGUUGAUGAUGAAAUUUAUACUAUAUCUGUAGUUGGCAAUACUUCAUUCACUUUAGACUCAUUGAACUUGAAACCAGGUGAAAAAAACUCACACGGUCACAAGAUUCGCGUAUUUGAAAGAGUGUAACCAAGUUGGUGGCGCAAUAUAAAGAAUAAUACACAGCCCACUUAAGGCAAUCUCAUCCCCAAUCUUUUUACCCUGAGAAUAUAUAUUCUAUAAAUUCAUUGAAGGAAUCUGUUUGAACAAAUAUUGACCAGCCCUUUUGAACUUUCAUCUUUUCAUGUACUGCUAAGUAAUUAGGCCCGUAGAAUGUGGAGGACUUAAACCCGUGGUCUUUAAUUUGCCCAUGUUGUUCAGUCAACUAAACUAACUUAAUGAUCAAAAAUCAAUGUUUUUUUCUAUGACUGAACUACUGCAAAUUCAAGAAGAAUAUAUGUGUUCAACUUGUUCCUUGAAACAGUAUCUGUCUUUCUAAAGACACCUUUAGUAGUUUUCAAGCUUCUCUUCUUUGGAAUUUCUUGUUUGGAGAAAAGGUGUCCAACUUUGCUGAUUUUUAUAUAAAUAGGAGUGGCAUGAAAACCUCAAACUUCAAGCAAAUCUCAUCUCCCUCUUCCUAUUAGAAAUGAUGUGGCAGAGUUCUUAUUUCAUUACAGAAGCCUACAUGGCUUAUUGCAGCUUCUAACAUGUUUGUGGUCAUUCAUGACAUUGGCAACUGUCAGGUAUUUACUCGCAUUCCACAUGACUUGAUUUGGCAAGUUUAACGGACUUGGUUGGACGGGUCAAACCAGCCAAAACCAGUUUGCUUUUUUUCAGUUUUUAUGUAAAAAAAUAUCCAGCCUUUCAUGUUGAAAAAA
rnacentral:lncRNA from 1 species